rnacentral:lncRNA from 1 species
CAGCAACAUCACGCGAAUACACCAAACCGAUUCCCCUUUUUCAUGACCCGCACCUGUUAACCCGUAACUCGGCAUCAGAACUCGCCGUCCCAAGCUCCAACCCAUCUGUUUCUUCUUCGUCGUGUGCCUUUCCACGCGAAUUCGUACGAGGAAAAUUUGAGAACCCUCUAGAAACAUGCUUAGGUAUCUCCCUUUAAUGGAUAUCUCCAUGAAUCGUGGAUUACUUGUACAAAUUCAUACGUAUUUGGCAAAUUUUUGUUGGUUCUUGGAGAAAGGAUCCAUUUUCCCCCCAAUUUCUAUUGUCUUUUCUUGGAGAAUCUGUGGAGGAUAAAAGAAAAGGAGUACAUUUGUUGGUGAAACCCUAAGCAGGAGGGAAAAAAUUCGAAUUUCAAAUCCAAAGAUAUCCUCUCUUUCAAGUCCCCAAAAAACCCCCAAUUCGGGUUCUAUAUAAAGACCCUUGGGGUCACUAUUUCGAAGGGUAUUUUCUCUUCUUUCAGGGAAUUUUUGGUUCGAAAGAGGGGGAAAAGAAGAAAUCUGGGGUACGGAAAAAUUUUGGUUGGGAGAAAAGAGGAGAGGCAGAAAAUUCUGAAAGCAAAAUAGUUUAUUUUUAGUGAAAAUUUACUCUUUUGUUCUUUUUUCUGAAGUUGGUCGAUUGAUCGGAAGCCCUUAAGUUGAUAACGCGGAUUUCCAGUGGUGGCGGAUUCCGACAACUAACUCGUUCUCCCCUUUUGCUGCCCUGAGAGAGGUAAAUAUCCUCAUUCCUCAUUUAAUUUUAUCGGCAUGUUUGUUCUUCAUCUUUUUUCUCUGUAGCGAUGAUUAUUUGGUUGAAUGAUGAACAUGAGGUCUAUUGUCGAAGCAAUGGUCUUUGUUUGAAUGAUGAACAUGAAGUUUGUUGUGGGGGCUGUGUAGUCUUCAUUGAACGAUAAAAGUGAAGGUCGGUUUGGAUGGUUGGCUGUAGAGGCUGUUGUAUGAUAAUAAUAGUAGUGAUGUUGUGUGUUCGUUGUAGAGGCCUUAAAGGCCAUAGUUUUUUUUUCUUUAGCAAAGAAGAACAUUCAGUUGUGUUAUUACGCUAGGCUAUUUCUUAUUUGAAUCUUAUGAUAUGUAGUUUCUGUCAUUAUUAUCCCGAUUUUAGAGCUCGUCAUCUAAUUUUGACAUUAUCAAGAAGUUUGCGAUCUGGAUCUUCAUCUUGUGUGCUGUCUUUACCUUUUUUCAUGGUCAAAAUUCAUGUCUUGAUUCGUGUUUAACACUUCUGCUUGACGUUUUGUCUUGUUUGGAGUGGAUAUAUAAUGUUUCUUGUCUAUUGUUAGUGUUGAGACACUGUCGUAACUAUUGAGCAGAUAGCGUCAUCGAUAGGACUACCUCUUGAGGUCCUUUGGAUUCUCAAAUGCCAAAAGGAUGAUGAGAAAACGUCCAACAGUAAAAUUAGAAAAAUCCCAUGAUUCUCCGAUGACCAUGUGACUGUCAAAAACUCAUUCUUGUGUUUGUCAGGAAGGAGAGAAGGAUAGAAAUACUAUGCCCCACCGCUUUGUUUUUAGCCUAUUGAUUGUACUCUUUCUGUUGAAGCUUUUGAAGUGUAAUUGUAUGUUAAAGAAUGCUGAAUCUGGGAACAAAUUUAAUCUCUUGUUAUACGUUUAAUGUCAAAAAUCGAUGAAGUUUAUACCCUCUUUUUCUUUGAGCAUGAUUCGUAUCACUUCCUACCUAGGUAAUGGUUUCGCGGUCUAAAACUUUUAAAGUUUUUGCAAGAUCAUGUUUUACGGAAUACUAGUGAUCGCCUUCAUCUAUAAGGACUAUUAUAGACCGACGAUCCAGACUUUCUGUGGCAUGGUGUUCGCAUUAGUAUUAAGCUUGUUGCUCCGAUCCGCAAAGAAUUUCGCUAAAAAUGUUCCUGUUGUUUUGUCCUCAUCACUAUCUUUAGCUAGUUUGGGAUUUAUUUUUUUUGGAUUAAAACUGUUUGGUUAAGCUGUAUUAUGAAAGAAUUAAUGACCAGAUUUAAGGUUCUUUCACUAGUGUUAUGAAAGAAUUAUUGUCCAGGUUUCUUUGGAUCAAAACUGCUUAAAUUACAUCAACUUGUGUUUCUUUAUGUUUAGGUAAUUGCUAUAUUAGAGAUACUGUUUCCUCCUUAUUUUAGUCAUCAAAGAUGUCUUUAUUUGUGUUAGUUUUAUUUACGAAAUUUUGGCCUAGAUGUGACAAUGAAUGCUAAAUUUUUCUCAUGUCUUCUGUCAACCUAUAGGACAACCUUGAGCAUGAAAAUAAUCUUUUUAAUUGCUAUUUGCAGCUUACGAUGAUGUAUGAUUAGUUAUACCAAUUCCAAACGGUCUAGUGCAGAGUCUUAAUCCUUUUCCCUUUAUUUUUGGAUGCAUGUGAAUGUGUUACGUCUGAGUUCACCAUGAACUCUCAAUUGCAUUUUACUCAUCGAUUCAAUCCCUAGCGGGAGACCAAAUAUCGACCUCGUGGCAUAUCUAAACCAAGGAGUCGAAAGAAGAAGAAAUGGGUUAAAGUCCACAUUUGAAGCGGCCAAGAGACUUGAAAGUCUCGGUUUCCAUUUCAUUCAUUUAUUUAGUCAUUUAUUAUUGUUGUAUUUAUUUAUUUA